rnacentral:piRNA from 1 species
CACCAGGACCUACUCAGAGGUGAGCAG